UACGGAGGGUGCAAGCGUUAUCCGGAUUCACUGGGUUUAAAGGGUGCGUAGGAGGGCAGGUAAGUCAGUGGUGAAAUCUCCAGGCUUAACUUGGAAACUGCCAUUGAUACUAUCAAUCUUGAAUACCGUGGAGGUCAGCGGAAUAUGUCAUGUAGCGGUGAAAUGCUUAGAUAUGACAUAGAACACCAAUUGCGAAGGCAGCUGGCUACACGAAUAUUGACACUGAUGCACGAAAGCGUGGGGAUCAAACAGG
rnacentral:rRNA from 1 species